rnacentral:rRNA from 1 species
GAUGAACGCUAGCGACAGGCCUAACACAUGCAAGUCGAGGGGCAACAGGGAACAAGCUUGCUUGUUCUGCUGGCGACCGGCGCACGGGUGAGUAACACGUAUGCAACCUGCCCGUCACAGGGGGAUAACCGGGGGAAACCCCGCCUAAUACCCCAUAUUAUAUAGUUAUUGCAUGAUGAUUAUAUGAAAACCUUGGUGGUGACGGAUGGGCAUGCGGUGCAUUAGCUAGUUGGUGAGGUAACGGCUCACCAAGGCGACGAUGCAUAGGGGUUCUGAGAGGAAGGUCCCCCACACUGGUACUGAGACACGGACCAG